rnacentral:rRNA from 1 species
AUUGAACGCUGGCGGCAGGCCUAACACAUGCAAGUCGAACGAGUGGCGGACGGGUGAGUAAUGUCUGGGAAACUGCCCGAUGGAGGGGGAUAACUACUGGAAACGGUAGCUAAUACCGCAUACUAUCGGAUGUGCCCAGAUGGGAUUAGCUAGUUGGUGGGGUAACGGCUCACCAAGGCGACGAUCCCUAGCUGGUCUGAGAGGAGGACCAGCCACACUGGAACGGAGAAACGGGCCAGACUCCGACGGGAGGCAGCAGGGGGGAAUAUUGGACAAUGGGAGCAAGCCUGAUGCAGCCAUGCCGGGUGUAUGAAGAAGGCCUUCGGGUUGUAAAGUACUUUCAGCGGGGAGGCGUUACCCGCAGAAGAAGCACCGGCUAACUCCGUGCCAGCAGCCGCGGUAAUUC